rnacentral:rRNA from 1 species
UAGUCCACGCCGUAAACUAUGGGUGCUAGCCGUCGGUCGGCAUGCCGGUCGGUGGCGCAGCCAACGCAUUAAGCACCCCGCCUGGGGAGUACGGUCGCAAGAUUAAAACUCAAAGGAAUUGACGGGGGCCCGCACAAGCGGUGGAGCAUGUGGUUUAAUUCGAGGCAACGCGAAGAACCUUACCAGCCCUUGACUUCCCGAUCGGGGCUCCAGAGACGGAGCUCUUCAAUUGGUCGGUGAC